AUUGAACGCUGGCGGCAUGCCUUACACAUGCAAGUCGAACGGCAGCACGGGUGCUUGCACCUGGUGGCGAGUGGCGAACGGGUGAGUAAUACAUCGGAACGUACCUUAUCGUGGGGGAUAACGCAGCGAAAGCUGUGCUAAUACCGCAUACGCCCUGAGGGGGAAAGCGGGGGAUCGCAAGACCUCGCGCGCUUAGAGCGGCCGAUGCCUGAUUAGCUUGUUGGUGGGGUAAAAGCCCACCAAGGCGACGAUCAGUAGCUGGUCUGAGAGGACGAGCAGCCACACUGGGACUGAGACACGGCCCAGACUCCUGCGGGAGGCAGCAGUGGGGAAUUUUGGACAAUGGGGGCAACCCUGAUCCAGCAAUGCCGCGUGAGUGAAGAAGGCCUUCGGGUUGUAAAGCUCUUUUGUCAGGGAAGAAACACCGGCUCUAACACAGUCCGGGAAUGACGGUACCUGAAGAAUAAGCACCGGCUAACUACGUGCCAGCCGCCGCCGUAA
rnacentral:rRNA from 1 species